rnacentral:rRNA from 1 species
UACGUAGGGGGCUAGCGUUGUCCGGAAUCAUUGGGCGUAAAGCGCGUGUAGGCGGUCCGGUAAGUCCGCUGUGAAAGUCAAGGGCUCAACCCUUGAAUGCCGGCCGAUACUGUCGGGCUAGAGUCCGGAAGAGGCGAGUGGAAUUCCUGGUGUAGCGGUGAAAUGCGCAGAUAUCAGGAGGAACACCAAUGGCGAAGGCAGCUCGCUGGGACGGUACUGACGCUGAGACGCGAAAGCGUGGGGAGCAAACAGG